rnacentral:rRNA from 1 species
AUGAAGCAUGGUUGUGUCUUCAGUGCGCACCGCCGGAUGAACGUCAUGUUGGGACACUCUAUCCCUAAUUUAUGCCGCUUCAGCUUGGAUGAGUCUCCAUCGUGUGGAACCGGACUAGAAAGCUGCGACAAUGAUUCCCGUUGCCCACCGCUAUGGAUCGUGCCUUCCAUGAAGAACACCUGGGACUGGAACCUGGAGGAGGACAUUAGUACUAGUAGAAUUGAGAUUGAAUGCACUUUCUUCCCCGUCUUCCACUCUUCUUCCUCCUCUCUUCUUCUUCCUCCUCUCUUCUUCUUCCUCCUCUCUUCCCCAUCGUCGGCCGCACACCAUUUACCCCCGCUCACUGCUCGCCCGCCCGGGCCAUCUUCCUUGUCGAAGAAGGAUUGGCCGGUGCUGCCGGCUGGCGUCAAGUUCGAUCCCAUGGACCAGGAGCUAAUCGAGCACCUUGAGGCCAAAUUCAGUGCUGACAGCGCGAGAUUUCAGUCUCUCAUCGAUUUGUUCAUACCAACCAUCGACAACGAGCAUGGCAUAUGCUACACCCACCUUAGAAACUUCCAGGGCGUUCAAAAGGGGCACGUGGACAUGUCGCAAGAUACAGUCGGAGUGCGGCAUGCACGCGAUGUGGCACAAGACCAGCAAUACCUUGCCGGUGAUGGUCAAUGGACGGCAAGACGGGCAGCAAAAAAGGUUCUGGUGAUGCACACCAACAAGAACUUCGACCAGCAAAGGACCAACUGGGUGAUGCACCAGUACCACCUCGGGGACCUGGAGCAAGAAAAGGAGCGGGAGCUUGUCCUCUGCAAGAUUUUCUACCACACGAACACUAGGGCCAGGAGUAAAAAGAUUAUAAGUCAAGCAAGUUUCAACUGGGAUGUAGACUGCCCAGGGUUGGUUUUGUUUUGA